rnacentral:rRNA from 1 species
GCAUAUCAAUAAGCGGAGGAAAAGAAACCAACAGGGAUUGCCUCAGUAACGGCGAGUGAAGCGGCAAAAGCUCAAAUUUGAAAUCUAGCACCUUCGGUGUUCGAGUUGUAAUUUGAAGAUGGUAACCUUGGGUUUGGCUCUUGUCUAUGUUCCUUGGAACAGGACGUCAUAGAGGGUGAGAAUCCCGUCUGAUGAGAUGCCCAUUCCUAUGUAAGGUGCUAUCGAAGAGUCGAGUUGUUUGGGAAUGCAGCUCUAAGUGGGUGGUAAAUUCCAUCUAAAGCUAAAUAUUGGCGAGAGACCGAUAGCGAACAAGUACAGUGAUGGAAAGAUGAAAAGAACUUUGAAAAGAGAGUGAAAAAGAACGUGAAAUUGUUGAAAGGGAAGGGCAUUAGAUCAGACUUGGUGUUUUACGAUUAUCUUCUCUUCUUGAGUUGUGCACUCGUAUUUCACUGGGCCAGCAUCGAUUCGGAUGGCAAGAUAAUGGCAGUUGAAUGUGGCUUCACUUCGGUGGAGUGUUAUAGCUUCUGCUGAUAUUGCCUGUCUGGAUCGAGGGCUGCGUCUUUUGACUAGGAUGCUGGCGUAAUGAUCUAAUGCCGCCCGUCUUGAAACACGGACC